UACGUAGGGAGCAAGCGUUGUCCGGAAUCAUUGGGCGUAAAGCGCGCGUAGGUGGCCACAUAAGUCCGUUGUGAAAGUCAAAGGCUCAACCUUUGAAAGCCGAUGGAUACUGUGUGGCUAGAGUACGGAAGAGGCGAGUGGAAUUCCUGGUGUAGCGGUGGAAUGCGCAGAUAUCAGGAGGAACACCAAUAGCGAAGGCAGCUCGCUGGGACGUUACUGACACUGAGACGCGAAAGCGUGGGGAGCGAACAGG
rnacentral:rRNA from 1 species